UUCGCCCGUCUUCCGUCGGCGGCUCCGCGUUUUUCUGCACGGAUUCUUCCCCUUACGCCCCGUACGACGCCUUCACCGCCCUCCUGCUGCGCCCCGCCGGGCUCCGUUUGGCCGGGCCCCGAAUCCCUCGUCCCCUCCUCCUCCUCGUUGCCCACGUCAACGCCGUCCUUUGGGCUUUGGCCCGGUUCCUCCCUCCUCCGUUCCGCCCCGCUGCCGCCCCGUUGUUGCUGCCCCAAACCGCCGCCGCCGCCGCCACCCCGUUCACGGCCGCCAGCAGCGCCGCCAGGCGACGCUUCGGGUAUCGCCCCCGGGUGGCAUGGAGGACCGCCAGGCGUCGCACCGCCGCUUGGCUGAAGGGGCUGCAGUGAUGGGAGCCACCCGUUGGCACCCAUUGGCACCCAUUGGCACCCAUUGUAAUCCAUUGGCACCCAUUGGCAUCUAUUGUGCCCCAUUGGCACCCAUUAAAACCCAUUAAAACUCAUUGAAACCCAUUGGGACCCAUUGUAACCCAUUGGCACCCGUUGGCCCCCAUUGUAACUCAUUGGCACCCAUUAAAACCCAUUGAAACCCAUUGGCACCCAUUGUAAUUCAUUGGCACCCAUUGUAACUCAUUGGCACCCAUAGAACCCAUCAGCACCCAUUAUAACCCACUGGCACCCAUUGGCACCCAUUGGCGCCCAUUGGCGCCCAUUGUAAGCCAUUGGCACCCAUUGCCCCCCAUGUGGCCUGGAGGACCACCAGGCGUCGCACCGCCGCUUGGCUGAAGGGGCUGCAGUGAUGGGAGCCACCCGUUGGCACCCAUUGUAAUGCAUAGGCACCCAUUGGCAUCUAUUGUGCCCCAUUGGCACCCAUUAAAACCCAUUAAAACUCAUUGAAACCCAUUGGGACCCAUUGGCACCCAUUGGCACCCAUUGGCCCCCAUUGGCACCCAUUGUGACCCAUUGUAAUUCAUUGGCACCCAUUGUAACUCAUUGGCACCCAUAGAACCCAUUGGCACCCAUUAUAACCCACUGGCACCCAUUGGCACCCAUUGGCACCCAUUGAAAUCCAUUGGAGCCCAUUGGCCCUCAUUAUCCCCAUUGUUUCUAAUUGGCACCCAUAGAA
rnacentral:lncRNA from 1 species